GACGAACGCUGGCGGCGUGCUUAACACAUGCCAGUCGAACGGAAAGGCCCUGCUUUUGUGGGGUGCUCGAGUGGCGAACGGGUGAGUAACACGUGAGUAACCUGCCCUUGACUUUGGGAUAACUUCAGGAAACUGGGGCUAAUACCGGAUAGGAGCUCCUGCUGCAUGGGGGGGGUGGGAAAGUUUCGGCGGUUGGGGAUGGACUCGCGGCUUAUCAGCUUGUUGGUGGGGUAGUGGCUUACCAAGGCUUUGACGGGUAGCCGGCCUGAGAGGGUGACCGGCCACAUUGGGACUGAGAUACGGCCCAGACUCCUACGGGAGGCAGCAGUGGGGAAUAUUGCACAAUGGGCGGAAGCCUGAUGCAGCAACGCCGCGUGCGGGAUGACGGCCUUCGGGUUGUAAACCGCUUUCGCCUGUGACGAAGCGUGAGUGACGGUAAUGGGUAAAGAAGCACCGGCUAACUACGUG
rnacentral:rRNA from 1 species